UACGUAGGGUGCGAGCGUUAAUCGGAAUUACUGGGCGUAAAGCGUGCGCAGGCGGUUCGUUGUGUCCGAUGUGAAAGCCCCGGGCUUAACCUGGGAAUGGCAUUGGAAACUGGCGAGCUUGAGUGCGGCAGAGGGGGUGGAAUUCCGCGUGUAGCAGGUGAAAUGCGUAGAGAUGCGGAGGAACACCGAUGGCGAAGGCAGCCCCCUGGGUCGACACUGACGCCUCAGGCACGAAAGCGUGGGGAGCAAACAGG
rnacentral:rRNA from 1 species